CCAGAUUAUAUAUAUUAUUAUUUGAUUUCUUGUGAUUUAUUUAUUUAUUUUGUUUUCUUUUUUUUUCUAUUCAUUAUUAGUAUAGCUUACCAAAACCUUCCUAUUUAUUCAUCGUACUAUAAUCCAUUUAAAGUACUAAUUAGAUCUAUUAAUGUUUAGGUUAGAAUUAAUUUAGUCACCUCCCUUGGGUAUGACCCUCGGAGUACUUACCUACUUCGUUGUAACUAUAUUACAACUUGACUAAUAUACUUGCAGAUAC
rnacentral:lncRNA from 1 species